AAGGAUGAGAAGCUUCGACUAAGGUUCGAUUCGAGCGAAAGCGAGAAAGCGUUGCCGCAGGCAACGACCCGAAGGGCGAAGCGCGCAGCGCUGAGUCAUCCUUCCCCCACCACCA
rnacentral:sRNA from 1 species